ACCUGGCUGGCUCAGUCAGUAGAGCAGGUGACUCUUGAUCUCAAGGUCAUGAAUUCAAACACCAUGUUGGGUA
rnacentral:tRNA from 1 species